rnacentral:misc_RNA from 1 species
UGAAAUGUGAUAAGUAAUGUGAAUUGCAGAAUUCAGUGAAUCAUCGAAUCUUUGAACGCACCUUGCGCUCUCUGGUAUUCCGGAGAGCAUGCCUGUUUGAGUGUCAUGAACUCUUCAACCCUUCAAGUUUUUUGUGAACUUGUUUGGAGUUUGGAUUCUGAGUGUUUGCCCUUUUUGUAAUGAGAAAGGCUCACUUGUAAUACAUUAGCAUCUCGAUUUCGAACUUCGGAUUGACUUGGCGUAAUAGACUAUUCGCUGAGGACACUUGUAACAGAGUGGCCGAAAUGAGAUAACAGUAGAAGCUUCCAACCCUUCUAGUCAACCAUUGAUUAGACCUCAAAUCAGGCAGGAUUACCCGCUGAACUUAA